ensembl:lncRNA
GUCUUGGUGGUUUAAUUUAGUGUUAUAUUUAGAUUCCUUCUUCAUUUUCCUUGUGUAUUUGCUAUAAAUUUUCUCCUUGUAGUUACCAUGAAGUUCACAUAUAACAUCCUAUGUAAAUAGUAGCCUGUUUUAAGUUAUUAGCGACUUGAACAUAUUCCAAAAUUUUUUUUACCCUCACUCCCAAAAUUUAUACUUUUCAUGACAUAGUUUACAGCUUUUUAUUUCAUAAGCCUAACUAUAGUCAUUUUCGUUAAAUUUAUUACUUUUUUCUCAUAACCUUCACGCUUACUUUACAAGUGAAUGACCCCCUAUCUUCAUUAUAUAUUUACCUUUUCUAGUGACAUUUUUUUCUUUCAUACAUUUUCUCAUUAUUAAUUAGGCCAUUUCUUUCGGGUUUAAUGAAGGCCCUUUAACAUUUCUUUUAAGGCUGGUUUAGUGAUGAUGAACUCUAGCUUUUGCUUAUGUAGGAAACUCUUGAUCUUGCCUUCAAUUCUUGCUGGGUGGAAAAUUCUUGGUUGAAAGGUUUUAUUGUUGUUCUUUUCCUUUGAGCACCUUGAACAUGUCAUUCCGGUCCUUUCUGGCCUGUAAACUUUCUGCUGAAAAACCUUCCGUGGCUUUCUGGGGUUUCCCUUAUAUGCAACAAGCUUUUUGUUUGUUUGUUUCCCUUUUCUGCUUUUAGGAUUCUCUCUUUAACUUUUUUUCUUUUUUUGGCUGCACUCAUGGCAUGUAGAAAUUCCAGGGCCAGGGACUGAACCUGUGACAUGGCAGUGGCCCAAGCACCAGCAUUGACAAGACUAGAACUUUAACCCACUAUGCCACCUGGGAACUCCUCAUUUUUAACAUUGUAAUUAUAAUGUGUCUUGUUCCAGCUUGAUGAUUCAUUCUUUCACCCUAUCCUAUCUGCUGUUGGACACCUCUAUUACAUGCUUUCUGUUCAGUUAUAAGUUCUAGUUGGUACUUUCUUAAAUUUUCUAUCUCUCUGUUGAAGCUCUCCCUGUGUCCAUGCAUUAAUCCUGUGUGUUCGAAGUGAGUGUGUUUAUGACCACUACUUUAAACUCUUAAAAACAGAAAGCUCUGUUUCAUUUAGUUCUUUUUUUCUGAGGUUUUACCUCAUUCUUUCAUUUGAAUUAGGUAAAUCAGCUACCUGUCCCAGUGUUGAAAAAGUGGCCUUAUUUAGUAGAUGUCUGCUAAGGUUCAGAGGCACAAUCCUACCUGGCUACCAGAGCCAGGUAGUCAGGGGAUGUCCCCUCCAUGGGCUGCAUGUCCCUCCUGAUGUGGUGGUGCUGCUCCUGCUGCCACAGCAUGUUGCUGGGCAGUGCUGGCCCCUGGACUGGCUGUGGGCCCUGCCUUAGACUGUUGCUUGUGUUGGUAGAUAGGGAUAUUGCUUGGCUGGCUGUGAGCCUCAGUCAAGGCACAGGGGUGGACGAGGCUCUCAGCAGGUUGCACCACUGGCACUGACAGCUUAGAGGGAGAAUUUUAAAGGGAUGUCCACCAGCAUCAGUGUUAGCAAGGCAGCUUGAGAUCACAAAAAUGGCUCCCACCAGUGUCUCCUUCCCUGGAGAUCAUCCCAACUGGUUCUCGCCUCUCUAGCAGAAGCUUCAAAUUAGUGUAAAUAGAUCCUCUGCAGUUAUUAUCCAUGUGCUUUUCAAUGUGGUUGGUAUUUCUGCUCUGGUUUUUGAGUCAAGUCAUUUGGGGUGUGGGCCCUUUAGGAAGGAAUUUUUCAUUCAGUGUAGUCCUAUGAUUUUCCUGGACAUAUUCCAGUUGGUUUUCAAGGCCAGGUGUUUAGGGGGGCUCAUGUUUCCUUUGCAGGAUUUCUGGGUUGGAUGCUUGAUGGAGCUUGAACCUCACUUUUCAGGGGAAAGUCAUGUGCCUUUAUGAUCACUCCUGCUUGUGGGUUGCCAUAUUGGGCUGUGUUUCUUCCCUUGGUGAGCUGUCUCUCUGCCUCUCCUUCCCGUCUUAACGCUGUCCUUUUGCCCUUUGUUGUGGAGGCUCUGGUCAUCCAGUUUUCAAAUCCCUUUCUGAGGGAAUUAUUGUAGUUGUAGAUUUGCUGUGUCCAUACGCAAUUAUAUGCAGUUGUAGAUUUGUUGUGUCCAUAACAAGAGGUGAGUUUAAGAUCUUCCUACACUGCUAUCUUGAACCCACUCCUAUAAAAUUUCCACGUUUUAGAAGUUAAAUGAUUUGAAAAAAAACUUUUAUAUAAGUUUUAUAAUUACCUUUAAGGCAUUGCUUUAAGUCUUGAUUUGCUAAUUGACUUUUUGUAUGUUAAUAGGUCUGAAUCUAUUAAUAUACACAUUAAGUAAUGCCCUCAUUUGUUUUAGUGCUUUCAUUUAAUGAAACUACAACAGAGCACAUAUAGAAAACUAUUCAUUCACUCAUUAACAUGCCCAAUAAACAUUCACUUUUCCUUAUACUCCAAUGGUUUUAAAGGAAAAGAAACAUGAAAAAUUUUAAACUCACACAAACUUUUAGAGAAGGAAAAUCAAAUGAGAAAUAUCCUCUGGGUAACCAGUCCCAACUGUUAUGGUACACUGCAUCAUUCUACAUAAGGUCUUUUUUUCUAAUCUGCUUUGAAAAAUAGAAAGAAAAUAAGAACAAAUUAAACAUCUUUAUAAUUCAUUUUUUCUAUGAAACUAUGCCUUUCUCUAAAACAGAACUCAUCUUUGAGAUAGUAGAUUCUCCCAUAGACUUUAUAAUAAAUGUUGGCUUGCCCAAAAGUUAGCUGGUGGGCCAGGCAUAAAAACAAUUUUCCUUUAAUCCCUGGGAUUUUUGUUUGAUGAUUUCAGGCAGAAAUUAUAUCUCCUUUCUCUGACAGUUUAAGGCACUUGAAACAUAUAGUUUUAUAUGGUAAGUUUUGAAUAAUAUUUUUUUUUAUCUACCCUAAUAAUAAUCGCUAACAUUUGAGUACCACUUUGGAAUAUGCUGUCACACAGCUGAGGACAUGUUCAUUUGUCCUCAAUGAGGACAAAUCUUCAAAGAGAAGAACAGCUACAAGCACAACAUCAAAGUCCAGAGUGUUGAGGAGACGGACUUAAUGUUCACCACCCCAGACAGGUAGGUAGAACCCACUGUUUCCACUAUGAGGGUGGAGGGAAGAUGAAAUUGGAACUGUAGAUGAAAAAGCUGGAGGAAGACACAUUCCAGAAAGUGAUCUCCAGCAAUAAGACCCUGGCCAUCAUCAUGCUGAUUCACUGACAAAAGAAUCAAAAGCCCUGGAAGACACCUUAGGUGUGUGCAGAGGCCAUCACAAGAGAUGAAUGGGAAGAGCCUCACCAAGCACAUGCUCCAGGGCACUUCUGCUUCAGAAGCUCUUCUUCAGAACAAAACACUGCUUUGUUAUCACUGCUUCUUUCGGAGGUUUACGGCCCUCUCUACAUAUCUUUAUUCAUACUCUUUCUUUCCUGCUCUCCUAUACUAUUCCUUUAUCUAAUUUAUGGUGUCCUUCCAAUUUUUGGGGUACUGUGUGCUUUUUCUUUUGUUCUGUAGUUUCUCCUGCCUGCGAUUCAUGCAGUUUCCAAUGCCUCAGGGGUUUCUCCAGCCAACUGAGAACCUGUCCCUGAAUCUGACAAAUAGUUAUCUUUCUGCAGCGGCUGUUUCCUCAUCAAGUGUGGUCUAUGCACAUUUCUCCUCCUGUUCCCUUCCAUUCUCCUUGCUUCUGUACCUCACAUAGAAGCUCUGAGAACUACCCGACAUGAGUUGACAGAUAAGAUACAUGCCUAGUUCUUUAAAAGCCAGAAACCAUUACAACCAUUUAACAGUCUAAAUGUGUCCUUCUAAUUCCUGCCUCUGCUCCUAUUCUGUUUUCUAAAUUAUGUCCUGAUACUUGAGAGGGACUCUUACAGCAUACCCUCUUGCUUAGCCCUUGGUACCCAAUCAUUCAUUCCUUCACUCAUUCAGUAGCUAGUGAAAUUCUCUGCUGUAGCAUAUCUGGCCCGAGGUACUAGAGAGAAUGUCAGGCAUCAAUAACAAUAGGGUCCAGUGGGAGAAAUAGAGCAAAAGACAAAUAAGUUACAGUGCAUUUCCAAAGGGGCCUGGGAAGGUAGCCCAGAAUGCGUACUCAGCCCAUCCUGGAGGGUCUAGGAAUGCCUCCUGGAGGGAGAGCCAUAGAAGCUAAGCCCUAAAGGAUGAACAGGCAUUUUCAAGGUGAAAGGGAUGAAGUGAGCAUUAGACACAGAGGAAAUCAUAUGUUCAAAGUCUAGAAGUAUAAAGAAACAUGCACAAGACUGCUCGUUACUGGAGCUGCUGGGAAUGGCAGAGGAAAUCUUAGUUUUAAACACUUAACUCUUGACUGCUCCCUUCACGUUCCAUCAAUUAAAAAUAAAUAAGUACAUACUAAUGUUAAGAAUAUGAAUCAUUAAGCACACGCUUGUAUUGAGUAUGAGUCAUUAGGUACAACAUUUAAUACAGUCAUGGACCUGUAAAGAUUUUCAAUAAUUCAUUUGUCUCAACUCCCUAAAAAUGUUGAGUUUGUAACAGUUAUUCUCUGCUUAAAACUACAGUGAGAAAGAAAAUGGGCUGCUAGCAACUAAAUAAAUAACUUUUUAACUUUAUUCAUUCAUUUAAUCAUUGUACAAAUAUUGAAUGCAUUCCUGCUAUGGCUAAAUACUUCUCGCAACAUGCUUACUUACUAUGCUAUCAGAGGGAAGGAAAAACCAACUCUAAAACCAGUAAACAGCUAAAUACAUCAUGCAGCACUUCAAAUACACACAUUAAAGGCAAAGCAGAGCAAAUGAUCCAUACACCUAAGAUCAAACCACAUAAAAAAUUUCAUUUACUAAAAAUGCUGCUGAAAUCAAACCAACACUAAAUAUUCUUUGUGGUAAAUGGCAUUCAUUAUAUUUCCCUUACAACUUUCUGACUAACCACAGUCACAGAUUCACCUUCUAGACUUGCACUUGGUUUAGCAGGGAUAGCAAGCAAUGAUAACAGACUGGUUCCUCUUGCAGGCGUUCUGUGUUCUGGCUUUGGAGGACAGCUGUAAUCCUCCUUCUGGCAUUUUCUAACUAGAUGAAAUUCAGUUGGUUACUUGACCUUG